GUCAGGAUAGCUCAGUUGGUAGAGCAGAGGACUGAAAAUY
rnacentral:tRNA from 2 species